UACAGAGGCUCAGUGGUAGAGUGUAUGCUUUGUAUGUAUGAUGUCCUGGGUUCAAUACCCAGUUUCUCUCCAG